rnacentral:rRNA from 1 species
UACGGAGGGUGCAAGCGUUAAUCGGAAUUACUGGGCGUAAAGCGCGCGUAGGCGGCUAAGUAAGCUAGAUGUGAAAUCCCUGGGCUCAACCUGGGGAACUGCAUUUAGAACUGCUUGGCUAGAGUGCAGAAGAGGAGUGUGGAAUUUCCGGUGUAGCGGUGAAAUGCGUAGAGAUCGGAAGGAACAUCAGUGGCGAAGGCGACACUCUGGUCUGACACUGACGCUGAGGUGCGAAAGCGUGGGUAGCAAACAGG